ACUGGCCCAGCCUCCCGCGAUCAAGGGACCAGACAAAGAGCCCAAACCAAAUUUACCUAAAUCGGGAAGACCGUACUUUUAAUUACGGUUCAUUUCUGAUAUUUGUUUGAUCGAUAAUUAGAUUUUUAAUACGUGGUGAGUGCACCUCCACCCAUUCACUGAAAGCCAAAACAAAGGACUAGCGAGUACAAAAAAUAGACGAGUUCCAGCUACAUUUUCAAAUAUAAAUUACCCAACCGAACAAUUUAAUUUACAAGUUAACCAUGGAUGAGGUAAAUAUCGGAGAGAGAACCAGCGAUUGUUUAACAGACAAUGAAUGUGCGCCUACAAACAAACAGCA